GAUGAAGAACGCAGCGAAAUGCGAUAAGUAAUGUGAAUUGCAGAAUUCAGUGAAUCAUCGAAUCUUUGAACGCACAUUGCGCCCGUCAGUAUUCUGGCGGGCAUGCCUGUUCGAGCGUCAUUACGCCCCUCAAGUCCCCUGUGGACUUGGUGUUGGGGAUCGGCGACGCUGGUUUUCCAGCACAGCCGUCCCUUAAAUUAAUUGGCGGUCUCGCCGUGGCCCUCCUCUGCGCAGUAGUAAAACACUCGCAACAGGAGCCCGGCGCGGUCCACUGCCGUAAAACCCCCCAACUUUUUAUAGUUGACCUCGAAUCAGGUAGGACUACCCGCUGAACUUAAGCAUAUCAAUAAGCGGAGGA
rnacentral:misc_RNA from 1 species